NGCAGUAGGGAAUCUUCCACAAUGGACGAAAGUCUGAUGGAGCAACGCCGCGUGAGUGAAGAAGGUUUUCGGAUCGUAAAGCUCUGUUGUUGGUGAAGAAGGAUAGAGGCAGUAACUGGUCUUUAUUUGACGGUAAUCAACCAGAAAGUCACGGCUAACUACGUGCCAG
rnacentral:rRNA from 1 species